GACGGGGGCCCGCACAAGCAGUGGAUUAUGUGGUUUAAUUCGACGCAACGCGAAGAACCUUACCAGGGCUUGACAUCCAACUAACGAGGCAGAGAUGCGUUAGGUGCCCUUCGGGGAAAGUUGAGACAGGUGGUGCAUGGUUGUCGUCAGCUCGUGUCGUGAGAUGUUGGGUUAAGUCCCGCAACGAGCGCAACCCUUAUUGCUAGUUGCUACGCAAGAGCACUCUAGCGAGACUGCCGUUGACAAAACGGAGGAAGGCGGGGACGACGUCAAAUCAUCAUGCCCCUUAUGUCCUGGGCUACACACGUAAUACAAUGGCGAUCAACAAAGGGAAGCAAAGCCGCGAGGCAGAGCAAAUCCCCAAAAGUCGUCUCAGUUCGGAUCGUGGGCUGCAACCCGCCCACGUGAAGUCGGAAUUGCUAGUAAUCGCGGAUCAGCAUGCCGCGGUGAAUACGUUCCCGGGCCUUGUACACACCUGCCCGUCACACCAUGAGAGUCGGGAACACCCGAAGUCCGUAGUCUAACCGCAAGGAGGGCGCGGCCGAAGGUGGGCUUGAGGAUUGGGGUGAANUCGUAACAAGGUGGGGCGUUCGAAA
rnacentral:rRNA from 1 species